UAGCAGUUGGUAGUUUCCAGCCACAGAUUCGAAUUGGCCAGGGUCAAAAUCUGUCAUUAGAGAUAAAACCUUGAAGUGAAGGCAGUUUUGAUGUUUGAAAUAUUUGUUGAUGUCUGCAUCUCGUAAGAUAUCGGAAGCCGUCUGACUUGGCCACAUCGCUCGGAAGUCUGAAGUACUAGAAAAAACCGCCAUCUGCUACCUUAAGACAUUUGUCAAUUUUUGUCUGCAUCUCGUAAGAUAUCGGAAGCCGUCUGACUUGGCCACAUCGCUCGGAAGUCUGAAG